GUCGGGAGUCGUGGCGGGCUCCUGUGAUCCAGCUUCUAGGAGGCAAAGCGCAGCGGACGCUUUCAGACCUGCGCUAC
rnacentral:SRP_RNA from 1 species